GUGUUGUCUGAAAGGAAAGAAGGUUAGCACUCCCCUUGACAAGGAUGGAAGAUGCCCUUGGGCCUAACAAUACCCAUAUGGUUAAGGCAUUGCCACCUACUUGGUGGCAUCUAGCCACUGUUUUUG